CUGAGUCCCAUUAUGACGUGAAAUCAGAGCCUCCUCGGGGUCCACUGUGAGGAUUCUUGCACUGCCUAGAAAGCUCUGCAGCCGUGAGACAAAUUGCUGCGUGGCAUUAGCACUACAGUGAAGGAUGAAAGUGCACCGAGCAAGGCAAACAAGCAUCCCAUUACAACCGCCACUUAGCAACAAACACAUCUAUUACAGCGGCUGAGCAAGGCUGGAGGGUCUCAAAAACCUCUGCAAUCAAAAGUCAUCAUGACAACCUGACAUGGCAGCUGAGAACAUCAUCAGCACUACAAUACCCAGCGAGACAAGGUUUAAGGACAGCAACCAGCCUACAGCCUGUUCACCCUGCUGCCAUCUGUAAAGCAAUACAAAAGUAUCUGAGCUUCUUCCCUCAACACAAAUGGAGGACUGAGACUCAAACAUCACUUCUCUCAACUAUUGUACCUCUGCUCUACAUAUUGCACUCCAAGUACGGAACUAUCUGGAUAUUUAUUUCCCUUGUUGCCCCUUUGAAAUUACGAAUAAACACGGAGCCCUGUUAUUAUUAUCUGCUCAUGUUCAUUCAGUGCAGAAUGUCACAAUAUUUACAUGACACUGUAACAUGACACAACUGCGCAACUUAACAACGCAGCAGUCAUAGUUUGUAUCUUGACAAUCACUACGCAGCUGCAUUGUUGCCAAAUGUUCACUUAUAUUUCCAGAGUAGCUUGUUAGAUUCUUUAUUUUAACAUUUUUAUGGCAUUUUUUUUAAUUUUAAAAGUUGCAUCUUUUACUUUAUAUUUCUUAUGCUUACUCUAAUGUUUUCUCUACAACUGGGCUACAACUGCAUUUUCCUGCUCCAUGCUGUACUGUUGAUAAUAAUAAAGCUGCCCUUGACCUUGAUGUUGAAAGCGUCUGGCCUGAUAAAUACAGCGAUGAAGCACUCACUGGUGUGUACUGGUGUGGAUAAAGCCAUAAACACGCAUUAUAUCUAAACUACACAUUAUUAUAUAUGAUGCAUUUCAACAAAAUUACUAUUACUAAUUAUUAGUCAUUCUUUGUGACAUAGUCUGUAAUAUUCUAGUCAUAACAAGUAUCCUUUUGCAGCAGUUGAAAUGUUUCCUGUGUUUAUUUUAUGACUUGCCUUGCAAAUGUAAU